AAGGAAUAUUGCUCAAUGGGAGAAAUCCUGAAGCAGCAACGCCGCGUGGAGGAUGAAGGGUCUAUGACUUGUAAACUCCUGUAAAGAAGGAAAAAAUUCCCAUUAGAUGGGAGAUGAUGGUACUUCUGGAGUAAGCCCCGGCUAACUACGUGCCAGCAGCCGCGGUAAUACGUAGGGGGCAAGCGUUGUCCGGAUUUACUGGGUGUAAAGGGUGCUCAGGCGGAUUUGUAAGUCAGAGGUGAAAUCUUACAGCUUAACUGUUAAACUGCCUUUGAUACUGCAAGCCUAGAGCAUGGAAGAGAGUGAUGGAAUAUCUGGUGUAGCAGUGAAAUGCGUAGAUAUCAGAUAGAACACCAAUGGCGAAGGCAGUCACUUGGUCCAUUACUGACGCUAAAGCACGAAAGCGUGGGUAGCAAACA
rnacentral:rRNA from 1 species